CUCCCUCGUUGCUGAUCUCAGGUUCGAUAAUGCCAAAUCGCACCACCUCGCCUACAACCAACUUCGAUGAAGCGACGGGCGGUGUGUG
rnacentral:rRNA from 1 species